AGUGAACGCUGGCGGUAGGCCUAACACAUGCAAGUCGAACGGCAGCACAGUAAGAGCUUGCUCUUACGGGUGGCGAGUGGCGGACGGGUGAGGAAUACAUCGGAAUCUACUUUUUCGUGGGGGAUAACGUAGGGAAACUUACGCUAAUACCGCAUACGACCUACGGUUGAAAGCAGGGGAUCUUCGGACCUUGCGCGAUUGAAUGAGCCGAUGUCGGAUUAGCUAGUUGGCGGGGUAAUGGCCCACCAAGGCGACGAUCCGUAGCUGGUCUGAGAGGAUGAUAAGCCACACUGGAACUGAGACACGGUCCAGACUCCUACGGGAGGCAGCAGUGGGGAAUAUUGGACAAUGGGCGCAAGCCUGAUCCAGCCAUACCGCGUGGGUGAAGAAGGCCUUCGGGUUGUAAAGCCCUUUUGUUGGGAAAGAAAAGCAGCAGGUUAAUACCCCGCUGUUCUGACGGUACCCAAAGAAUAAGCACCGGCUAACUUCGUG
rnacentral:rRNA from 1 species